GACGAACGCUGGCGGCGUGCUUAACACAUGCAAGUCGAACGGAAAGGCCCUGCUUUUGUGGGGUGCUCGAGUGGCGAACGGGUGAGUAACACGUGAGUAACCUGCCCUUGACUUUGGGAUAACUUCAGGAAACUGGGGCUAAUACCGGAUAGGAGCUCCUGCUGCAUGGUGGGGGUUGGAAAGUUUCGGCGGUUGGGGAUGGACUCGCGGCUUAUCAGCUUGUUGGUGGGGUAGUGGCUUACCAAGGCUUUGACGGGUAGCCGGCCUGAGAGGGUGACCGGACACAUUGGGACUGAUAUGCGGCCCAGACUCCUGCGGGAGGCAGCAGUGGGGAAUAGUCUACAGUGGGCGGAAGCCGUGUGCAGUGGCGCCGCUUGCGGUAUGACGGCCUUUGGGUUGUAAACCGCUUUCGCCUGUGUCGUAGCGUGAUUGACGGUAAUGGGUAAAGAAGCACCGGCUAACUACGUG
rnacentral:rRNA from 1 species